GCAGAGAGAAAAGCGGUGCCAAUAAUAUUUGUUUUAACUAGCACUGAGAUGCAAAUCAUUUCAACUCAAAAUAGAAGAGUUCAAUGGAAAGGAAGAGGAGGUAUGAGUUACCCAGUCUCCAGUACAGAAGCCUUAUCUGUGAAGAUAUCCCUUGAAGAGACUAGAAAAACAGGCAUUGCUGCUGGAGCAGAUUAACGCAUCAAUCAUCCACGCUAGAAAAGAACUUAGAGAUGUAGAUAGUGAGCAAUGACCACCACACUUAAAAAACAUUUGUAAAAUAAAAUUGUUAGUGAAGCCAG